rnacentral:rRNA from 1 species
UACGGAGGGUGCAAGCGUUAUCCGGAUUCACUGGGUUUAAAGGGUGUGUAGGCGGGCGUUUAAGUCAGUGGUGAAAUCUCCGAGCUUAACUUGGAAACUGCCAUUGAUACUAUUCGUCUUGAAUUCUGUUGAGGUGGGCGGAAUACAUCAUGUAGCGGUGAAAUGCUUAGAUAUGAUGUAGAACACCGACUGCGAAGGCAGCUCACUAAGCAGCGAUUGACGCUGAGGCACGAAAGCGUGGGGAUCAAACAGG